UAGGAACUCACUCGAGGCACUGAAGAAGAGCCUUCUGGGGCUCCUCUGCUCCCCCAUCCUAGUUCUGGAAGGAGUGCAGACCGAACCCAGGAGCCCGGGUAUCCGCGUCCUGAGUCCUAGCGCCCACCAGGACUGGAGCCUCCUCGCAUCUACUCUGAGGACAAAAUCCACUGGCAGAAUCUUCGUUUUUGUUUGGGAUGCUGGGUUUGAGAACACGCCAUGAACCAAGAGUCGUAAAUAAUCCAAUUUUGAGCACUUGAGAACCAAGUGGAAAGAAACUCAAGCCGAUUCAAAGUGACCAAUCUCUGGUUAUGCCCUUGAGCCCCUGCAGAAGCAAAGAAUAAUUUGUGUGUGCGUGUGGACAAAUACAUUUGUAUUCCAGAUCUCACAGAAAUUCCUACACCAAGAAAUUUACAAGGAAAAUGAACACUGCGCCCUAAAAAUUAACAAGGAAACAAGGUACCAGGAGCAACAACUCAUUAACAGGAACAGAAACUAAAUUGCAAACAUUUCAGAUGCAAAGUGUAUCAGACUCAUAAUACAACUAUUCCUACAGUGUCUAAAAAUAUGAAAGGCAAUAAAGAAAAUAUCUUUGACAACAGGACCUCCAGCCUUCUAGACUGAAAAAAGAACCAAAUAGUUCUAGAUAUAAAAGCACACAGUAAUGGAAACGGAACAACUAAAUGCACAUCACGGUAGGUUACAGUGCGGAGCAGUAUUGCGAGGGCUUCUGUGAGUCCCAGUGAGCUCUGGGCAUUCUGUCUGCAACUGCAAGGAUGGCCGACACACAGCAGAACUCUCCUGUGCCUGUAACUCGAGUGGCCUCAAAAAAAAAAAAAAAAAAAGGGUAGUCAUUGACUCUUUAAGUGCGUGCAGUCGCAGUCUGGGGACAUUUUUUCUCUUUCUGAAAGAAGGCCAUUUCAGCGGAGGGCACAGAUUGGGAGAACACAGAUUCAUGCCAGCGUGGUGCGGAAGGAGACUCUGGCGGGUCACCCCCAUUUGUGGGAGAACGCAGGGUGGUGGAGGAAGUCCUGCACUAGCGGGGACGUCGGUGGGGACUGAGGCUGCUGUGGGGGACCCCAAGUGCGCUCUGGUUUCUGGGGCUGAUUCAUUACCUCACUUUGUUUUCACCACCCUUAGGCCACCCAGUCCAUUUGUAGGUAUAGAAAGAAGUCUGUAAGGAAGCCCGGCUAGCUCAGUCGGUAGAGCAUGAGACUCUUAAUCUCAGGGUCGUGGGUUCGAGCCCCACGUUGGGCGUAUGUUUUGAUUCUGGCUGUCUCUCCCAGAAUCUACCCUCUAUCUGUGGAGGUAGAGGCCCCUGACAGAUGCAGACUUGCUGGUACCUUUUAGAUGUACCCCAAGGGUACGUCUUUUCCUCCCAGCUCUCU
rnacentral:tRNA from 1 species